rnacentral:misc_RNA from 1 species
GAAAUGCGAUAAGUAAUGUGAAUUGCAGAAUUCAGUGAAUCAUCGAAUCUUUGAACGCACAUUGCGCCCGCCAGUAUUCUGGCGGGCAUGCCUGUCCGAGCGUCAUUUCAACCAUCAAGCCCCCGGGCUUGUGUUGGGGACCUGCGGCUGCCCGCAGGCCCCGAAAUGCAGUGGUGGGCUCGCUGUCACACCGAGCGUAGUAGCAUCACCUCGCUCAGGGCGUGCGGCGGGCUCCGGCCGUUAAAUGGCUCCGGCCAACACAACCCAAGGUUGACCUCGGAUCAGGUAGGAAGACCCGCUGAACUUAA